UCAGUUCGGAUUGGAGUCUGCAACUCGACUCCAUGAAGCUGGAUUCGCUAGUAAUCGCGCAUCAGCCAUGGCGCGGUGAAUACGUUCCCGGGCCUUGUACACACCGCCCGUCAAGCCAUGGGAGCCGGGGGUGCCUGAAGUACGUGACCGCGAGGAGCGUCCUAGGGCAAAACUGGUGACUGGGGCUAAGUCGUAACAAGGUAUC
rnacentral:rRNA from 1 species